UACGUAGGGGGCAAGCGUUGUCCGGAAUCAUUGGGCGUAAAGCGCGUGUAGGCGGCUCGAUAAGUCUGCUGUGAAAGUCCAGGGCUCAACCCUUGAAUGCCGGUUGAUACUGUCGGGCUAGAGUCCGGAAGAGGCGAGUGGAAUUCCCGGUGUAGCGGUGAAAUGCGCAGAUAUCGGGAGGAACACCAAUGGCGAAGGCAGCUCGCUGGGACGGUACUGACGCUGAGACGCGAAAGCGUGGGGAGCAAACAGG
rnacentral:rRNA from 1 species